rnacentral:rRNA from 1 species
UACGGAGGAUCCAAGCGUUGUCCGGAUUUAUUGGGUUUAAAGGGUCCGUAGGCGGUUUAAUAAGUCAGUGGUGAAAGCCCAUCGCUCAACGGUGGAACGGCCAUUGAUACUGUUAAACUUGAAUUAUUAGGAAGUAACUAGAAUAUGUAGUGUAGCGGUGAAAUGCUUAGAGAUUACAUGGAAUACCAAUUGCGAAGGCAGGUUACUACUAAUGGAUUGACGCUGAUGGACGAAAGCGUGGGUAGCGAACAGG